rnacentral:rRNA from 1 species
GAUGAACGCUGGCGGCGUGCCUAAUACAUGCAAGUCGAGCGAACAGAUAAGGAGCUUGCUCCUUUGACGUUAGCGGCGGACGGGUGAGUAACACGUGGGUAACCUACCUAUAAGACUGGAAUAACUCCGGGAAACCGGGGCUAAUGCCGGAUAACAUUUAGAACCGCAUGGUUCUAAAGGGAAAGAUGGUUUUGCUAUCACUUAUAGAUGGACCCGCGCCGUAUUAGUUAGUUGGUAAGGUAACGGCUUACCAAGGCAACGAUACGUAGCCGACCUGAGAUGGUGAUCGGCCACACUGGAACUGAGACACGGUCCAGACUCCUACGGGAGGCAGCAGUAGGGAAUCUUCCGCAAUGGGCGAAAGCCUGACGGAGUAACGCCGCGUGAGUGAUGAAGGGUUUCGGCUCGUAAAACUCUGUUAUUAGGGAAGAACAAACGUGUAAGUAACUGUGCACGUCUUGACGGUACCUAAUCAGAAAGCCACGGCUAACUACGUGCCAGCAGCCGCAGUAAGAC